CGGCAGCGCGGGAGCAAUCCUGGCGGCGAGUGGCGAACGGGUGAGUAAUACAUCGGAACGUGCCCAAUCGUGGGGGAUAACGCAGCGAAAGCUGUGCUAAUACCGCAUAAGAUCUACGGAUGAAAGCAGGGGAUCGCAAGACCUUGCGCGAAUGGAGCGGCCGAUGGCAGAUUAGGUAGUUGGUGAGGUAAAGGCUCACCAAGCCUUCGAUCUGUAGCUGGUCUGAGAGGACGACCAGCCACACUGGGACUGAGACACGGCCCAGACUCCUACGGGAGGCAGCAGUGGGGAAUUUUGGACAAUGGGCGAAAGCCUGAUCCAGCCAUGCCGCGUGCAGGAUGAAGGCCUUCGGGUUGUAAACUGCUUUUGUACGGAACGAAACGGUCUUUUCUAAUAAAGAGGGCUAAUGACGGUACCGUAAGAAUAAGCACCGGCUAACUACGUGCCAGCAGCCGCGGUAAUACGUAGGGUGCAAGCGUUAAUCGGAAUUACUGGGCGUAAAGCGUGCGCAGGCGGUUAUGUAAGACAGUUGUGAAAUCCCCGGGCUCAACCUGGGAACUGCAUCUGUGACUGCAUAGCUAGAGUACGGUAGAGGGGGAUGGAAUUCCGCGUGUAGCAGUGAAAUGCGUAGAUAUGCGGAGGAACACCGAUGGCGAAGGCAAUCCCCUGGACCUGUACUGACGCUCAUGCACGAAAGCGUGGGGAGCAAACAGGAUUAGAUACCCUGGUAGUCCACGCCCUAAACGAUGUCAACUGGUUGUUGGGUCUUCACUGACUCAGUAACGAAGCUAACGCGUGAAGUUGACCGCCUGGGGGAGUACGGCCCGCAAGGUUGAAACUCAAAAGGAAUUGACGGGGACCCGCACAAGCGG
rnacentral:rRNA from 1 species